AGAGUUUGAUCAUGGCUCAGAAUGAACGCUGGCGGCAUGGAUUAGGCAUGCAAGUCGAACGUACUCCCUUCGGGGAGAAAGUGGCGAAAGGGUGAGUAACACGUGAGCAACCUGCCUCCGGAUCCGGAAUAAUCCAGGGAAACUUGGUCUAAAACCGGAUGAAGACAUUGGUCCGCAUGGUCUAAUGUUAAAAUAUUUAUAGUCCGGAGAGGGGCUCGCGGCCCAUUAGCUUGUUGGCGGGGUAAUGGCCCACCAAGGCUACGACGGGUAGGUGGUCUGAGAGGAUGGUCACCCACACUGGGACUGAGACACUGCCCAGACUCCUACGGGAGGCUGCAGUCGAGAAUCUUCCGCAAUGGGCGCCAAGCCUGACGGAGCGAUGCCGCGUGAGGGAUGGAGGCCUUCGGGUUGUAAACCUCUGUCAUCCGGGACGAAAACAAUGACGGUACCGGAAAAGGAAGCCACGGCUAACCACGUGCCAGCCGCCGC
rnacentral:rRNA from 1 species